UGGCGGACGGGUGAGUAAUGUCUGGGAAAACUGCCUGAUGGAGGGGGAUAACUACUGGAAACGGUAGCUAAUACCGCAUAACGUCGCAAGACCAAAGAGGGGGACCUUCGGGCCUCUUGCCAUCGGAUGUGCCCAGAUGGGAUUAGCUAGUAGGUGGGGUAACGGCUCACCUAGGCGACGAUCCCUAGCUGGUCUGAGAGGAUGACCAGCCACACUGGAACUGAGACACGGUCCAG
rnacentral:rRNA from 1 species